GACAGAGGGUGCGAACGUUGCUCGGAAUCACUGGGCGUAAAGCGCGCGUAGGCGGACAAGAAAGUUGGGUGUGAAAUCCCUGGGCUCAACCCAGGAACUGCAUUCAAAACUCCUUGUCUGGAGUGACGGAGAGGAUAGUGGAAUUCCCGGUGUAGAGGUGAAAUUCGUAGAUAUCGGGAGGAACACCAGUGGCGAAGGCGGCUAUCUGGACGUCCACUGACGCUGAGGCGCGAAAGCGUGGGGAGCAAACGGG
rnacentral:rRNA from 1 species